rnacentral:rRNA from 1 species
CCCCUGCGUGCCUAGUACGGCGAGUGAGCGGCAACAGCUCAAAUUUGAAAGCUGGCUCCGGCCCGCAUUGUAAUUUGCAGAGGAUGCUUUUGGCGAGGUGCCUUCCGAGUUCCCUGGAACGGGACGCCAUAGAGGGUGAGAGCCCCGUAUGGAUGGACACCAAACCUGUGUAAAGCUCCUUCAACGAGUCGAGUAGUUUGGGAAUGCUGCUCUAAAUGGGAGGUAAAUCUCUUCUAAAGCUAAAUACCGGCCAGAGACCGAUAGCGCACAAGUAGAGUGAUCGAAAGAUGAAAAGCACCUUGAAAAGGGGGUUAAACAGUACGUGAAAUUGUUGAAAGGGAAGCGCUUGUGACCAGACUUGCGCCGGGCAGCUCAUCAGGGGUUCUCCCCUGUGCACUCUGCCCGGCUCAGGCCAGCAUCGGUUCUCGUGGGAGGAUAAGAACAGUGGGAACGUGGCCCCCUCUCGGGGGGGUGUUAUAGCCCAUUGUACGAUACUCUCGUGGGGACCGAGGUUCGCGCUCCGCAAGGAUGCUGGCGUAAUGGUCAUCAGCGACCCGUCUGA